GAAGGGAUGGGAAGGUCAGCCCAGAGGUCAGCGGACAUGGUUGUUUUCACACCCACUUUACAGCCGUGUCUGCAUUCCUGUCCUGAACCAGGAUGAGAGCAGUUCAGGAGUGUGACUGAAAAAUUGCCAAGAUGAGCCUGCACUUUUAGAUUCUUCAUGGGGCCUUUAUGUAUCACCUCCACAGGAGAUGAGUGAUGAAAAUGGAAGGUAAGCGUGGAAGAUGGCCAAAUAAAACAGGAGGAAAUGAAGAAACUUUGAUUUUCACAUGUAUCACAAUUUGUGCUGUAAAAUGCUGCACGUGUAUGAGGGCGAACAUGCUUCCAUAAAAAUACAUCUGGUGUCCAUCAGACACUUUAUUUUUCCUGAGGUCAGGGUCCGCAGGAUAUUUAAUAUUUCCACCAAAGAAUCCAGAUGACAAGGUAAUGUCUUGGACUGAGACAAAGGCUCAUAAAAUUACUCGUAUUAUGCAUGUCUCUUGGGGUCCAGAAGAAAAAUGACAGUAAUAAUUUCAAACAGCAUGAAACAUGACAUAGUCACAGUGCCGAUAAUACAUUUCUUUACAAGUUUUUUCACAUUCUUCCUGCCUGAAGGAACACUACUCAUUUUAUUUUAUCCAGCCGUAUUUGCUCUACAGAAGAUUUGUAACCUGCAUGGGACUAAAUACAUUUUGUGUAGAGGGACCUCAUUAAAAGGUCUCCCUUGACAUCACUCAGGGUCACAAUCCCAAAGUGAACAGAUAAAUAGCAUCAAAAGAUAUAUGAGCAUAAAUGUGACUUGAUUUGUUCAAUUCUGCUACACUGCAAGUUCAUUCUCCAUUUUUAAAACAUAAUUCUGACAUGUACACAAACAGGUUUUAGUACUACAUGUCACUGGUUUCGGGAUUAAGAAACAACAAAAACCAGCAACUUUCGCCACAUUGUGUAUGUGGAAACCUUAUAGGAUGCUAACUUUGGGUUUCCGGGUUCUUUUUCCAACUUCUUGGGAUACUUCUGACAAGGUAGCUGAAAUAUAUGACUUGAGCAUACAAAGAGAGAGUUUCAUUAGUCUCUUCCACUUACACCACAGGUAAAACUGAGCAUGGACAUGGAGGGAUCAGUCCGCUUCUUAUGUUUAAGAAUCACAGCAUCUUAUUGAACCUUUAGUCAGGUGUUGUAUUGCACAAACAACUUGGUUUCUUUCUAGACUGGAUUCUUUUUUUUCUUUAUGUUACCUCUACAAUGAGAACUUGCCUUGAACAAAAUACAUAUCAGUUAUAGCUUUUAAACUAUUUCCAGCUAUAAUGUGAGUUCUCUUUUCUCUUUUCUUUCAUGCAUAUUAAUUCAGUUAUUUUCUAUUUUCCACCCAUGUAGAAACAUUGCAUGCUGACAGACCUGAGGAAGAGUAAUCUGUUGCUGAAUUAUAGACAUUGACAAAGGAGAGAUUUCAGACAGUCUCCCUGAGCCUGUAAAACAAUGGCACAUCAGACACGCCACGUCAAGUCAUGUUUCUUCUGUUAUUAAGCAGAAUCAGCUGUGGCUUCCCCUCCUGAAAACUCUGUGGGUCCUAUAAAUCUUGUGUGACAGUUCAGUUCAAAAGUCGUUGCCCUAAAAGGAGUAUAUAUUUGUGAAAGCGUGUGGGUUUUCUCCCAUUCAAGGGUCUGCUAUGGCAGACCAGCACUAGCUAGAUGAAGGAGAUGAGAAAAUGGAGAGGGACAGAGAAUGAGGCAAUAUAUAUGGAAGAUGUGGACACAGUUUGAUUCUGAGAGAACAGAUCCUCUUUGAUAGUCUCACAUCAUAAAUUAAACAUGUGCAUCUUAAUAACUGGAUGGGAAAAAGAACUGCAUCCUGAGUGGGGUCUCUGGUGCUUUCUGAAGUCAUGGUGACUCACAAGGUCCACCUCUCACAAGGGCAGAGCUCACGACUGCAACAAGGCCUGCUUCCGCAUACCGCGGCUGUGGCUGAAUAACAGAAGACAGAUUUAAGAGGGAUUGAGAAGUCAUUGUUUUGGUCAAGCUGAUAACACCUUAAGGUUAUUGUCACGGAGGAGCCGUCACGAGCUGGGACUUAGAGUCCGUGUCAGCAUACCCGCACAACCGCGCACACACGCCGACAAACACAUACAUAAUCACUAACUUACUUUUGUUGCAGUUUGGACUGGGGCGGUUCAUCGUGGGUGCACACGCGGUGUUCCUGCUUCAGUUAAACAUUCAUUCUAACUUAUUUUUAGCAUUAAACGUUUUCCCGGUUUUGUUUUCAAGUAGGGUGUUUCCGGAUUGUGGCGUGCCGGGAGAGAGUCACAUGAGGAGGUGAUGUCAUCAGAGCGCACUGGGUGUUGUCUAUUAAAUUGAGUAUUGUAUUUUGUUUACAAGUUUAUUUAUUUAUUUUUUCUAUUAUUAUUAUUUUGUAUACUUUACAAACUUCAAACUGAUUUGAAGUUUGAUUCAAAUCAGAAUCAAACUUCUGAUUUGAGUUAGAAAUAAUUAGUAUUUUUGCUAGUUUGGAUUGUCUGUGGGCGGAGCCUGUGGCUUUAAAAGCAGGGCUCUGCUCCACAGGAGGCAGUCUGUGGUUAGACUCCUGAAGAAGUCAUGCUGGAGGUGAUGGACUAUUGCAAGUCAAGGUACUAAUGAUUAUUUAACCUGCUCUGGAUGUCCUUUUUGUGUGAUCUGCACCUGCCAUCUUUGUGAGAGCUGAAUAAAUCCUCUUAAACGAU